rnacentral:rRNA from 1 species
UACGUAGGGGGCAAGCGUUGUCCGGAUUUAUUGGGCGUAAAGAGCGUGUAGGCGGCUUGGUAGGUCCGCUGUGAAAACUCGAGGCUCAACCUCGAGAUGUCGGCGGAAACCACUUGGCUAGAGUCCGGAAGAGGAGAGUGGAAUUCCCGGUGUAGCGGUGAAAUGCGUAGAUAUCUGGAGGAACACCGGUGGCGAAGGCGGCGUUCUGGACUGUAACUGACACUGAGAAACGAAAGCCAGGGUAGCAAACGGG